UCCUGGUUAGCUCAGUUGGUAGAGCGCUCCACUGGAAAUGGAGAGGUCCCUGGGUCGAUACCAGGACCAAGCG
rnacentral:tRNA from 1 species